AGCGAACGCUGGCGGCAGGCUUAACACAUGCAAGUCGAGCGGGCAUCCUUGUGGUGUCAGCGGCAGACGGGUGAGUAACGCGUGGGAACGUGCCCUUCGGUUCGGAAUAACUCAGGGAAACUUGAGCUAAUACCGGAUACGUGCGAGAGCAGAAAGGUUUAUCUGCCGAAGGAUCGGCCCGCGUCUGAUUAGCUAGUUGGUGAGGUUAUGGCUCACCAAGGCGACGAUCAGUAGCUGGUCUGAGAGGAUGAUCAGCCACACUGUGACUGAGACACGGCCCAGACUCCUACGGGAGGCAGCAGUGGGGAAUAUUGGACAAGGGGGGCAACCCUGAUCCAGCCAUGCCGCGUGAGUGAUGACGGCCUUAGGGUUGUAAAGCUCUUUUCUCCGGGACGAUAAUGACGGUACCGGAGGAAUAAGCCCCGGCUAACUUCGUG
rnacentral:rRNA from 1 species